rnacentral:rRNA from 1 species
GUUAGGAAUAUUGGACAAUGGGCGCAAGCCUGAUCCAGCCAUGCCGCGUGAGUGAUGAAGGCCUUCGGGUUGUAAAGCUCUUUAGCCGAUGAUUAUAAUGACUGUAGUCGGAAAAUAAGCCCCGGCUAACUUCGUGCCAGCAGCCGCGGUAAUACGAAGGGGGCGAGCGUUAUUCGGAAUCACUGGGCGUAAAGCGUGCGUAGGCUGUUUUGUAAGUCAGAAGUGAAAGCCCAGGGCUUAACCCUGGAAUUGCUUUUGAAACUACAAGACUCGAAUUCGGGAGAGGAUAGCGGAAUUGUCAGUGUAGCAGUGAAAUGCGUAGAUAUUGACAGGAACACCAGUGGCGCAAGCGGCUAUCUGGACCGAUAUUGACGCUGAGGCACGAAAGCGUGGGGAGCAAACAGGAUUAGAAACCCGUGUAGUCC